rnacentral:lncRNA from 1 species
GGCAGGUUCGCACAGGAGGGGUGCAGGUUCACGCCCCUGUCCUUGCAGUGGUAGAAGUAACCUUUCACACUUUUCCCGCAGGCGACGCAGAGCCGUUUAUCCGUCUUGCCUUUGCGUUGCGGCCCAUGUUCCACCAAUUCGAAAAGAGAGUUCUUGUAGUAACGGAUGUGUGAGAUAUUUUUUCGGCUCGGCGCAGUGGCGAUGGAGGUGGAAGGUACACGAGGCUAUUUCGCACGAGUAGCAGGGGGAGGAGAACCCAAACACCUUGCAGGCCUCACACCAAAAGGGGGCUUUAGUGCGCUGAAGCUUGAGCUUGUGCCCUCGGACUCGGUGCAGUGGAUGGUCGAUGCUGAUCACUGGGCUCCGGCUCAUUUUCUUCUGCGCUGUUUGCCACAGAGAGGAGAUGAUACUGGUUAUCUGCACGAGGGGAGAGGGAGCGAGUGAUGGUACGGACCAGAGAGGGAAGAAGGUCCCAUAUGUAUAGGAGCGUGCUUCUAUUGAGAAAAAACAAUAAAAUGAAAUGACGAGCUGGGGGAGCUGCUCAGUGGCGUCACCAUCACCACGUAUGUAGCUGUCAGCUCUAUCUCUAUCUCUCUCUCUCUCUCUCUCUCUCUCUGUGGUCUCUCUGGAGGACUCGCUGUAAAGGAACACCGAGAAAGGAAUUUAUGCCGGUGAUGUGAUACGCAUCACUAAUCUCUUCCUAAUUCUGAGCUUGUGAGAUCGUCACCAAGCGACACCUUCCUCCUUUCGUUCCGUCACGGCGGGUUCUUCCCUGAAUUGAUCAAUGCCAUGUGCAUUUAUACAGGAGAUUGCUCUAGUAUAAUUUGUGAAAAACUCCGCGAUCACAUCACUGUAGAGAAUAACUGAUCCGAAACCAGGUCGAUCGUCCGUCGUCUUCUGUAACAACAGAGUUAUUGGGAUUGAAGAGCCAGGAAGAAUGACGAAAAACAAAAAAAAAAUCUUACGCAGAGAGCUGCUAGGAUGCACAUGUGUCAAAAAACAUCUGGGAUCAUCGUGGCUCAGAGAAAGUACGAGAGGAAUUCUGUAAUAUGUGGCGCGCAUUUGAAAUUUCCAUAACGGGGAUCAAACUCCACGUCGAAGUAAAACCUAGAGAUCUACAUCGCCGGUCACACCGCUCCGAUGACUUCUAUUUCUCACCGUGAGAAUGCAAGAAAAACGGCAUCUUGAAGAUGGCCGCGUCUCUCUCUCUCUCUCUCUCUCUCUCUCUCUCUCUCUCUCUCUUUCUCAUUAGUCUCCCGGUCAAACCGUUGGAAAAAUCGGGAGCCCAUUGGGUCAGGAAGAUAGGGACAGAGAGUCUUGUGUUAGAUUUUCACUCGAACUUCGGGUCGAAGCAACGAGUGAGGGGGAACUAGGAAGCCGCUCUUAUCGUUUUCGCACAGUACUCAUUUCGAAAGGACUCACUUCGGAAGGACUUGCAUUUCCUUCGCUGUCGGUAUACCGACUUUUUUCCGGCCUUCUUCCAUUAUUUUAAUAAUUUGUAAUAGUUUAAGCACCCUUCAAUGAUCGCCGCAUUGAAGGGUUCCUUUAGAUUAGCCGCGAUCUCCACCUAUCUCUCUCUCUCUCUCAAUCUCUUCUGAUGUGCACCCACUUAAGAGAAAGAAGAGAGAGGAACAGGGUAUGAGGACAGAGAGAGAGAGAGAGAGAGGGCAGCUCGUCAUGGAGGACGAACCCAGGAUGUAGGUGGCCUUCAGGGGAUUCCCGUUCCCAAUACGAGGAAUAUGAGAGUUGACUGGCAUGUCGCAGAGUAAUCCCACCUGAAGCUAAUACGAAGAUUACAUUGAAUUUUUACCUGCCAGCUGCAAACAUUCGAAACACAGUAAGAUCAAAAUCGUAUGUUCAUGAUCUCGCUGUCGGCUCUGCUCGCGAGUGACACAGUACAGUCAACUGGGGAUGAUUCCCACAAAAGUUUCUAUAAUCUCCAUGGACUCUGUUGGAUUUGAUACCUCUGUAAACGCUGAAAUUUCUUUAUAACCAUGGGAAUACAAGAAGAACGCCAUCUUGAAGAUGGGCAGAUUUUUCAAGACAAGGUAGAGAUCAGCUAGAGAGUAGGGUAGCGGAUAUGCCGACUACGAUAGAGAAUGGAUCUCCGAGUAAGGCGGCGACGAUGACCGGAACUGCUGCUUGAGCCGCCGCCUUCAUCGCCGCCAACUUUCUCCCGGGACGGCGCUUCUUUUCCCCGACGGGAAGCUUGAGCAUCGGCGUCCUCUUCACCGAUUCACUGCCGCCGUCCUCGACGGCGGAGCCCCCCUGAGAGCUAUCCUCUUUGUUAAGCCAGCUAUCCAGGAACAGAUCCUUCACGCAGGAUAUAUGAAGGGCGACGGUCUUGCAGGUGGAGACGUAGCACCACGAAGACUUCCCGUGAUUCUUCCCAUCCCAGCCACACGCCUCGCACUCAAAGAGCAGCUCCUUCUUGAGCUCCAGCCUCAGGUCCCCGUCGACGAGGACUCGGGGCAGGUUCGCACAGGUGGGGUGCAGGUCGUUGCCGCAGUCGUAGCAGUGGUAGAACGAGCCCUCGGCACUUUCCCCGCAGGCGUCGCAGUCCUGUUCACGCGGUUCGCCUUUGCGUUGCAGCCCAUGUGUCACCAAUCGGAAACGACAGCUCUUGAACAACGGAUGUUUGAGAGACCUUUGCGGCUUGCCGCAGUGGCGAUGGAGGUGGAAGGUACACGUGGCUACUUCGCACGAGUAGCAGGAGUAGAACCCUAGCUCCUUGCAGCCAUCACAGUAGAAGGGGUCUUCCCUACGCUGAAGCCUGAGCUUGUGCCCUCGGUGCAGCGGAUGGUCGAUGUUACAGAUCACUGCCUUCUGGCUCAUCUCCUUCUCCGCUGUAUGCCAAAGAGAGAUGGGAUAGAGGGAGCGAGUGAUGGUACAGACCAGAGAGGGAAGGUUCGACUUAUAGACCAGAGAGGGGGAGGGUGGGGGGCCAUCAAGAAAAAAUCGACAUGGGUCAACCCAUUACCUCCACCUCCGAAUUUAGGCGGGAAAUUUCCACGGGGCCCGCAGAAACUUCUUGGCCAAGCUUCCCAACGCUUAGACUGGAGGAGUCUUUGUCGAUGCCUCUAUUGAGAAAAAAAUAAAAAAUGAAAUGACGAGCUGGGGGAGCUGCUCAAUGGCGUCACCAUCUCCACGUAUGUAGCUAUCUCAGCUCUCUCUCUCUCUCUCUCUCUCUCUCUCUCUCUGUGGUUUUUCUCUGGAGGAGUCGCUGUAAAGGAACACCGAGCAAGGAAUUCAUACCGGUGUUGUGAUACCUAUCACUAAUCUCCUCCUAAUUCUGAGCUCGUGAGAUCGUCACCAAGCGACACCUUCCUCCUUUCGUUCCAUCACGGCGGGUUCUUCCCUGAAUUGAUCAAUGCCAUGUGCAUUCAUACAGGAGAUUGCUCCAGUAUAAUUUGUGGAAUACUCUGCGAUCACAUCACUAUAGAGAAUAACUGAUCCCGAAACCAGGUCGCUCGUUCGCCGUCUUCUGUAACAACAGAGUUAUUGAGAUUGAAGAGCCGAGAAGGAGGACGAAAAAAAAAAAUCUUACGCAGAGAGUUGCUAAGAUGGACAUGUAUCAAAAAACAUCUGGGAUCAUCGUGGCUCAGAGAAAGUACGAGAGAAAUGCUGUAAUAUGUGGCGCGCAUUUGAAAUUUCCAUAACGGGGAUCAAACUCCACGUCGAAGUAAAACCUAGAGAUCUACAUCGCCGGUCAGCCUUGAACUAUCAAGUGAUCUGGCACCGGUUUAGGCGCUCGUGAACUUGGUGACCGCCUUGGUGCCCUCGGAGACUGCAUGCUUCGCCAGCUCGCCGGGGAGCACGAGGCGGACGGAGGUCUGAAUCUCCCGGGAGGUAAUGGUGGGCUUCUUGUUGUAUCGCGCAAGGCGAGAGGCCUCGUGAGCGAGCUUCUCGAAGAUGUCGUUGAUGAAGCUGUUCAUGAUUCCCAUGGCCUUGCUGGAGAUGCCAAUGUCGGGGUGGACCUGCUUCAACACCUUGAAGAUGUACAUCUUGUACGUCUCGGUGCCCUUUUUCGUCUUCUUCUUCUUCUUCUCGCCGGAGGCGUCCUUGGAAGGCAGCCUCUUCUCCGCCUUCGGCUUCUUCUCUGCGGGCGCCUUCUCCCCCGCCGCCUUCUUCUCCUCCGUCGCCUUGUCGGCGGCGGGCUUCUUCUCCGCCUUCGGCGCCAUUAUCUCCGGAUCUGUGCAGUGCGGAGGAAGAAGAAGCAGGAGCUCCAACAGAAAGGCGAUCGAGACAGCAGCACCUGGGCAUAAAUAUAUAUAGGCCGAAUGGAAGUACGCUCUGAUUGGGUGAACCACGGAUCAUCGCGCUGGCAGCAUGUAGACCGUCGGAUGAUGAUAAAAUGACUGGCUCGACCCUCAUGCUCGCCCUUUAACGGCGGUGGGCCGUCUGAUCUAAUGUGAACGUCUUCGAUGAUCUACUCUCAUUAAUAAAUGCUAAUAAUUACGAUAUUUUUUCUAUGGAUUUUAGCAACCAGAAUCGAUUCUCAACAAGGUAGGAUCCGUACCCCUUGAAUAGUGUACAAUACGUGCCGAAUCAGAUGGUAGAGAAUCGGAUCCAAGCAGACCUAGUUGAGGAUGAUCCCAAUCAACUCUAAUGGCUCACCACCGUCGGAUUGAUGAGGCUAGAGAUAAGACAAACGGCACAAUGUUUCUGGGCAUAAACCCUUCCAUGCGUAGAAGCUUUUGAUUUGAACCGAAAAAUAAUAUAUUUAUAAUAAUGUCCUUUCCUUUCGCUCACUUUUCCACACUCUGUUCCCAACAUGAACUGCUCGGCAACUAAUUUUCAGCAUGCUCCAGCAGACUAGCAGCAGUAGGGGAGAGAGAGAGAGAGAGUCCAGCUGAAGGGCUAUCUAGAGAAGGCAACUAGGAGCCUAAUUGGGCGAGGAUCUCCACACUAAGUAGCUGGACAGGGCUGCCAUUUACAGCAGUAUAAUGGUCAAACUUCGGGACUAAGCAACUAGUGAGGGUGUUCUGGGAAGCCGCUGUUAUCGUUUUCCAACAGUAAUCAUUUCGGCAGGAUUUCCAUUCCCUUGCAGGGGAAACAGAAUAAAAAAUGAUAAUAUCUUACGCGGUCGAUAUAUCUACUCUUCUCCGCCUUCUUCCCUUCUUUCAAUAGUUUGUAAUAGUCCAAUGAUCGCCGCAUGGAAGAGUUCCCUCUGAUUAGCCGCGAUCUCCACCUCUCUCUCUCUCUCUCUCUCUCCCUCUCUCAAUCUCGUCUGACAUGCAACCACUUGAGAGAAAGAAGAGAGAGGAAGAGGGUGGAGAGAGGGAGAGAUGGCAGCUGCCUCAUGGAGGAUGAACCCAGGAUGUGGGUGGUCUUCAGGGGAUUCCCAUCCCCAAUUAGAGGAAUAGGAGAGUUGACUGGCAUGUCACAGAGUAAUCCCACCUGAAGCUAAUAUGAAGAUUACGUUCGAUUGUUAUCUGCCUGUUGGAGACAUUUGAAACCCAGUGAUAUCUAUACAUAGAUUAAAUCAUAUGCUUAUGAUCUAGAUGUCAACUCUGCUUUCGAGUGGCACAGUUCGUCUUAACAACCACGCGAAUUCAAGAAGGAUAGAUUCCACACCCAGAAAAGAAAAGAGAGAUUUUUCAAGAGAGACUGAUGAUGGUAACAAUUACGCCGACUAAGGAGAUUGGAUCCCCGAGUAAGACGCCGAGGAUGAUCGAAACUGCUUGUUGAAACCUCUUCUUUAUCUUCGCUAGUUUCCCCUUGGAGAGGCCCUUCCUUUCCCUGACGACAAGCUGGAGCAUCGGCGUUUUCUUCACCAAUUUAUUGCCGCCGUCCUCGACGGCGGAGCGCCCCUGAGAGCUAUCCUUUCUCUUCAGGAAGUUAUCCAGGAGCAGAUCGUUCAUGCAGGAUAUAUGAAAGGCGACGUUCUCUCGUCUGGAGACGUAGCCCCACGAAGUCUUCCCAUGGUUCUUCUCAGCCCAGCCACACUUCUCGCACCCAAAGGGCAGCUUCUUCUUGAGCUUCAGCUCCAGCUUCAGUUUCUUAUCGACGAGGACUUCGGGCAGGUUCGCACAGGAGGGGUGCAGGUCCUUGCCGCAGUCGUAGCAGUGGUAGAACAAGCCCGUGGCAAGUUCCCCGCAAGCGUUGCAGAACUGCUCGCGCAGUUUGCCUUUGCGCCACAGCCCAUGUGUCACCAAUUGGAAACGACAACUCUUGAAAAACGGAUGUUCGAGAGACCUCUCCGCCUUGGCGCAGUGGGGAUGGAGGUGGAAGGUACGCUUGCCUGCUUCGCACGAGUAGCAGGUGAAGGAGAACCCUCGCAUAUCGCAGGCAUCACAGCAAAAGGGGCCUUCAGUGCGCUGAAGCUUGAACUGGCGCCCUGGGU